GGACAGGCACCUGAGGCUCUGUUAGCUUUGGCUGUGGGUCCAGCUCCUUAGAGCAGAGGCAGAGGCUCAGGGUCUG
ensembl:miRNA